rnacentral:rRNA from 1 species
UACGAAGGGGGGCUAGCGUUGCUCGGAAUUACUGGGCGUAAAGAGCUCGUAGGUGGUUUGUCGCGUUGUCCGUGAAAACUCACAACUCAAUUGUGGGCGUGCGGGCGAUACGGGCAGACUGGAGUACUGCAGGGGAGACUGGAAUUCCUGGUGUAGCGGUGGAAUGCGCAGAUAUCAGAAGGAACAUCAGUGGCGAAGGCGCUUUCUGGACCAAUACUGACGAUCAGGUGCGAAAGCGUGGGGAGCAAACAGG